CCCUCACCCGCUGCCUGCUGGCAGGCAGGACAGGCCUCGGGCAGGCAGCCGCACGCAGGAGUGCCCCGGUGCGGCAUCUCCCAAGCAAAAACUCUCCAGCCUGGAGCAGUGUUAACUCUGAAAACUAACGGGGGCGAUGGAAAUUAGCGGCCCUGCCUGCAGUUUCCCCGCCAGCAUCGGACGACUGAAGGCGGAGCCUUGGACGGGUUCCAGCUGCAUGUUAAGCCCUUAGUAGUGUGAUGGUGGACAAGUGAGAGAGUUUGGUAACACCAGCAGCCCUGGCAUUUACAACUGGAGUGCAAACACUGCUGCUCGUUUAGGUAAUGAAUACAGCUCACCGACAAACAGAACAUCAGCGAGCUGCAGCUGAAGCUGGAAUUCAGCCAGAGCAGGCAGCAAGCAGGGUCCGUGUGUCCAGACUAUUAAUCUCAUCUUUAGCAGAGAGUAGUUCUUCCAACAUAUCAUUGGUGUGGCACUCGUGGUAGUGAAGGAAGUGACACCAGGAGCUCCUUUGCCUCAGCAGUGUGUGAGAUCUCCAGAGGGCUGUUUCACACUGCUGGGUCACCUUCCGCUCUCUGCUUGCUCAGCUUCUGCAGUCACUAGCACCUCUAGCUUCCUUACCUUAGAUUAGGUUGGAGAGUGAGAUCAGUAAAUACCAAUGUUCAGCAGACAAAGAUAAGUUUCUCCCCUCCCUGUCUAGCCUGCUGUAAAGCAAAGGCAAGCAGUGCUUGUCAUUGCAGCAAAGCCACGGUCAGGCUGCCCUUUGGCUUUUAUAUAAAGUGA